GGCAGGCCGUGGCAGUUGGCCUCACCUGCAAGCUGCUUGAUGGCCAAGGGUGGGGGGCGCUGAGUGAAGUGCAGCAAGUGUUUGCUCCUCCUAUAACAUGCAAGCCCAAAAGAUCCUCCGGC
rnacentral:SRP_RNA from 14 species